AGAGGGAAAAUUAUCACUCUCGAGAUAUUUUGGUGACAAUAUUGUGGAGCUCAAAUUCCUCUUGAGAAAUAAGAAUUAUAGAGUUUUCAAUGCUCCACGAGUGUGUAUUCACAUAAGGAUGUAAGGUCUAUAGCAUGGUACGGUGAAGCUAGCUCCAACAUACAAGUUCUUCUGGAUUUUCAAGACCGAGUCAAAGUCAAAAAACAAGGUUUAAGCAAUUAGAGCAGGGUAUGCUCAUUUUUCAUUCUCUAUGUGCUAUUAAAACAUUGGACAAAUAUAGCUAUCCGCUCAUAAAAUUUAUGCCAAAGCUUCAUUUCUAGGAACGAGAUGAAGUUUUGCGGUUUUUGAAUACUAAAUAUUGUUAUUUCCUUCUCAUGAACUACACGCGUGGUACGCCUUCUAUUUUUUGAAAGAUCUUUUAUCUCCUUUGUUGUUCAAGAGUGCCAUAACUUUAUUUUUAGGCCUUUUAUUCUUAUCAUGAAUAGUUUUGGAUCGUCUAAAAUGACUUUCAUUUUGUGAUCUGUUUUAGUUGGUGCGUAAAUGGAACAACAUAACAUAAGAUUGUAUAUAUUGGUGCACUUUCAAGUUUCAAUUGCAAAUGGGAGCACAUCCGUCUAAUGUACUUUAAUUUACUAUUUAAAGGAGAAGUUCAAAUAUUAAAUGUAACUUCAAUGAUCUUCUUUAUAAAAAGAAGCUCAAUUAUUUGUAGCUUUCAAUAUCAUGGAAGUUGUACAUUUUAAAUUUAGUAUAAGGGGCGUGUCAUGGAUAUCAAGUUCACAUUGCACCUCCAAGAUGUAUCUUUUGCAAUUUUAUUGCAUGACCUAUCUCAAGGCCAUGACCUUAUAAAUUAUAUUUUUAGACUUCAUAUUUAAUCAUUAACCAAGUAAUGUCAAGAGGAAAAAUUAUUGUUCUCCAUUUCAUUUAGUAACACACUUAAUCGAUUACACUUAAUUGAUUAGCAAGACUUGAUUUUUCUUAGCAAAAGUAAUGAUACUAGAUAUUUGAUCAUAUCAUGAUUUUACUUUAUAACCGCGCGAAGCGCGACAUAUUCACUAGUUUAUAUAAUAUUUGACUAGUUUCGGGUUGUUUGGCACCAAGUUGAGGAUUUAAAGCGUAUUUGUGGACCAGAAGUGAGCUUGAGAACGAGGUAAGUCUCUUGCCUAACCUUGUAAGAGGGAACUCACACCCUUAGAUAUAUUUUUAUUGUGAAUUACUUGUGUGGGGAGCUACAUACGCACUAGGUGACGAGAGUCCGUGCAUAGCUCUGGAUAGUCUUAGGACUACAUCAUGCUUUAAUUGUACUAUCAUGUUUGUUAUGCAUAUUAAUUAACUUGAAUAAAAAUGAGACUAGAGAUUUUAAAGUUGAAACAUCCAAGUUAGAUUUCUUAUUUUUGAGAAAGAAUUGAAGAAUAUUUAAUAACUUUGAGAAAUCCAUGUCCUCUCACAUCGCAAGUACUUCCACGAGCAAGGUAAACUUCUCUAUUCUCAUGGGAGCAGGCCGUACAACCUCGGCAUAAAUCGUGCGUGAUAAUACUCGGAGUCUAAGUAUACUUGAUAUUAUUUUAUGUCUUGAGAGGUUAUAAUUAUUCAAUGAAAGAAAUUGACUUGGAAUUUACUAUUAGUGAAAGAAUUAUUUAGUCAUUGCUUGUUAUUGAAUUAUAUUAUUAGUAUUUACAUAACUCAUGCUUAUUUAGAAUUUCUGUAUUUUAUUUGUUGGCACAUAGUAUGUGUCGAUAUCGACCCUUCGUCACUACUUCUUCGAGGUUAGAUUGAAUACUUACUGGGUAUAUGUUAUUUAUGUACUCACGCUACACUUCUGCACUAAUUGUGCAGGAUCUGAAGUAGGUGCAUCUGACAGUCACCCCGACGCGCACCCCUGGUACCCCAAGACUUAAUGGUGAGCUGCUUUCCGAGCCCGUUCUGCAGCGCCCGGAGUCUCUCUUUUGUAUUUAUUUUCUGUUUACUCUGUUUCAAACAGUAGUUUAGAGUUUUGUAUAUUCUACUUGUAGCUCAUACACUUGUGACACCAGGUCUUGAAAAAUAUGCUAGUAGAUAUUUGAUGACUUUUGAGUAUU